GACGAACGCUGGCGGCGUGCUUAACACAUGCCAGUCGAACGGAAAGGCCCUGCUUUUGUGGGGUGCUCGAGUGGCGAACGGGUGAGUAACACGUGAGUAACCUGCCCUUGACUUUGGGAUAACUUCAGGAAACUGGGGCUAAUACCGGAUAGGAGCUCCUGCUGCAUGGUGGGGGUUGGAAAGUUUCGGCGGUUGGGGAUGGACUCGCGGCUUAUCAGCUUGUUGGUGGGGUAGUGGCUUACCAAGGCUUUGACGGGUAGCCGGCCUGAGAGGGUGACCGGCCACAUUGGGACUGAGAUACGGCCCAGACUCCUACGGGAGGCAGCAGUGGGGAAUAUUGCACAAUGGGCGGAAGCCUGAUGCAGCAACGCCGCGUGCGGGAUGACGGCCUUCGGGUUGUAAACCGCUUUCGCCUGUGACGAAGCGUGAGUGACGGGAAUGGGUAAAGAAGCACCGGCUAACUACGU
rnacentral:rRNA from 1 species